GACGAACGCUGGCGGCGUGCUUAACACAUGCAAGUCGAACGAAGAGCGAUGGAAGCUUGCUUCUAUCAAUCUUAGUGGCGAACGGGUGAGUAACGCGUAAUCAACCUGCCCUUCAGAGGGGGACAACAGUUGGAAACGACUGCUAAUACCGCAUACGAUCUAACCUCGGCAUCGAGGAUAGAUGAAAGGUGGCCUCUACAUGUAAGCUAUCACUGAAGGAGGGGAUUGCGUCUGAUUAGCUAGUUGGAGGGGUAACGGCCCACCAAGGCGAUGAUCAGUAGCCGGUCUGAGAGGAUGAACGGCCACAUUGGGACUGAGACACGGCCCAGACUCCUACGGGAGGCAGCAGUGGGGAAUCUUCCGCAAUGGACGAAAGUCUGACGGAGCAACGCCGCGUGAGUGAUGACGGCCUUCGGGUUGUAAAGCUCUGUUAAUCGGGACGAAAGGCCUUCUUGCGAAUAGUAGAAGGA
rnacentral:rRNA from 1 species